rnacentral:lncRNA from 1 species
CUCUUGGAAGCAGGUGAGUCACCUGAUGUGAGCAGAGGUGCAGCAGCGCCGAGCUCCCCACAUCUGUACUGCAUCAGCCGCAGGGCAGCUGGGGAACACCAGGCACCCUCCACCCUCGGGGACAGCCAGGCUCCAAGGUGCUGUGGCGCCCCUGGCUCCCUCAGGGCCCUAGGCAGGCCACAUGUAGUCUACUGAUUAGGUACUUCAUGCCACCAGGCCACUGGCCACAUGCUCCUCACACCAACUCCUGGAGAGCAAUUCAACCACCAUCCACAUGCCACAGUUUGUCACCAGAAGAAAGAGUUCAGGAAGAGAAGAUGCCAACCCACCACCACACCAUGAGCUACUUGGCACCACAGCACAGAAAAG